rnacentral:tRNA from 1 species
GCCACCCUAGCUUAAUGGUGAAGCAAUGCUUUUGUAAAGCAGAGAUUCUCGGUUCAAGUCCGAGGGGUGGCUCCA